rnacentral:rRNA from 1 species
CAGUAGCCGCGGGAAUACGUAGGUGGCAAGCGUUGUCCGGAUUUAUUGGGCGUAAAGCGAGCGCAGGCGGUUUCUUAAGUCUGAUGUGAAAGCCCCCGGCUCAACCGGGGAGGGUCAUUGGAAACUGGGAGACUUGAGUGCAGAAGAGGAGAGUGGAAUUCCAUGUGUAGCGGUGAAAUGCGUAGAUAUAUGGAGGAACACCAGUGGCGAAGGCGGCUCUCUGGUCUGUAACUGACGCUGAGGCUCGAAAGCGUGGGGAGCGAACAGGAUUAGAUACCCCUGUAGUCCCUGUCUCUUAUAC